rnacentral:rRNA from 1 species
UACAGAGGUCUCAAGCGUUGUUCGGAUUCAUUGGGCGUAAAGGGUGCGUAGGCGGCGCGGUAAGUCGGGUGUGAAAUCUCGGAGCUUAACUCCGAAACUGCAUUCGAUACUGCCGUGCUUGAGGACUGGAAAGGAGACUGGAAUUUACGGUGUAGCGGUGAAAUGCGUAGAUAUCGUAAGGAAGACCAGUGGCGAAGGCGGGUCUCUGGACAGUUCC